rnacentral:lncRNA from 1 species
CUCCACCUCCACCAUCACCAAAACCUCAGCCUCCUUAUUAUUAUCACUCUCCACCUCCUCCAACACCAGUUGUUAAGCCACCAUACUACUACCAAUCUCCACCUCCUCCAUCUCCAAAACCUAAGCCUCCAUACUACUACCAAUCUCCUCCUCCUCCAUCACCAAAACCUAAACCUCCUUACUACUACCAAUCUCCACCUCCUCCAUCACCAAAACCUCAGCCUCCAUACUACUAUCAAUCUCCACCUCCUCCAACACCAGUUGUGAAGCCACCAUACUACUACCAAUCUCCACCUCCUCCAUCACCAAAACCUCAGCCUCCUUACUAUUACCAAUCUCCACCUCCUCCAACACCAGUUGUUAAGCCACCAUACUACUAUAAAUCUCCACCUCCCCCAUCACCCUCUCCUCCACCACCAUACUACUACAAAUCUCCACCACCACCAUCCCCAUCACCGCCACCUCCAUACUACUAUAAAUCUCCACCUCCACCAUCACCGGUUGUUAAGCCACCAUACUACUAUAAAUCCCCACCUCCCCCAUCACCCUCUCCUCCCCCUCCAUACUACUAUAAAUCUCCACCUCCAUACUACUACCACUCUCCACCUCCACCAUCACCAGUUGUUAAGCCACCAUACUACUACAAAUCUCCACCUCCACCAUCACCCUCACCUCCCCCUCCAUACUACUAUAAAUCUCCACCCCCACCUUCACCAUCCCCUCCUCCUCCAUACUAUUAUAAAUCACCAC